AUAAAACUUCACACAUGUACCGACACGGCUGGCGGGGUGCCCCACGGGGUUGUCAGCUGCGGGUACAUGGAGGAUUAAC
rnacentral:sRNA from 1 species